rnacentral:lncRNA from 10 species
CUCAAAUCUUAUAAAAUAGCCCCACCCCAUCUCCCUUCUCUGACUCUCUUUUCAGACUCAACCCGCCUGUGCCCAGGUGAUUAAAAAGUGUAUUGCUCACACAAAGUCUGUUUGGUGGUCUCUUCACACAGACGCGAGUGAAAGAAUAAUGGUCUCCAACUCAGUCCAGGUUGCUGUGAAUGCCAUUAUUUGAUUCGUUUUUAUAGGUUAAUACUAGAAUUUAUUAUUCAAAUGGAGGCUGCAUGUGUGACAGGAAUCCCUGUAUAUGAUUCCCUCUUUAAGAUUCUUCCAGAACAGAAACAGCAGUGUGGAUAUCUCUUUAACAUGAAGGAUGAUCCCAACAUAACUUCUGUAAUCUGAAGGCUUUUUGGAUAUCCUGCUCAGUAGCAUUCGACUCUUCUCCUUUUUAAAGAGUCUCUCUCUGUUGCCCAGACUGGAGUGCAGGGGCUUGAUCUUGGCUCCUUGCAAACUUCACCUCAAAUGAUCUGCCCACCUCAGCCUCCCAAAGUGUGAGGAUUACAGGUAUGAGCCACCGUGCCUGGCCACAAUAAAGACUUUGUUUCAUUUCUGUUUCAUAUUUCUAGAUUAUAAACAUAUUUACAUAAAUUUCUAUAGAAGAGCAUGGAGACUGUGAUUCUUUUAUUCUCUAUUUUUUUCAAGUUAUAUACUACUAUACUUCAUGGUGCUCUUCAUUGAAUUAUUUUCCAUCUCAAAGUUUUUUUUAAUUUCCAUAUAGAACAGUUAAUAUAAUUUUUUACAACAGCCAUGAAAUGCAAUGCUAAUUCUCAAUCACAAUUUUCAUUGUAUUUAAGUCUUGGUUUUAAAAAGUCAAUUAAAUGAAACUAUAUACAUGACUGAAAAUGAAUCUAUCCACACUCCUGGAAAAAAUGUAAAAUAUAGUUCCACCUAAUGCCAUCUUUGAAUAUAAUUAUCAACAUUAUCUAAACUGAUGACAUAAUGUUGAGAUAUGAUUAAUGGAAUCAGUAGGAUAUUUUUCUAAAAUAUUUUUAGUAUUAUAAUCUGAAUUUAUCAGCUUUCCUUUUUGUUGCUUACAUUUCACAAUGGCAGAAUGGUAAGAAAAAGCAGCAAACUUCUCAAUAUCUCAAAGUUUUUAUACUUAAGAUUGAGUCAAAUCAUAUUUAAAGUUGUUUUUAUGGUCUCAGACAGACUUACUUGGAUUUCAGUUUUGCUUUAGUUGCAUGAUCUCAAACACAUUAGUUAAUUCAUUUCCUUAUCAAUAAAAUAAAGUUUGUAAGCGUGUGUGUGUUUGUGUGUAUGUUGUGGUAAUGGUGAUGGUGGUGGUGGCUCACAGUUUAAGUAAGAAUGGAACUACAAUAAGGUAGUCUCUGCUGGCUUAAUUGGGAUGUGAAUGUCAUCAGAAGAAACAUACCUCACCUCUCAUUCAAUGUUCCUCAACUCUUCACCUCCCUGAAGUACAAGAAGAAGGAGGAGGAUACAUAGGAUUUUACAGAGCCUAUUCUUCAGCUGGUCCAUGGACUAGGUAAACUCUUGUGAUUAAAUAACAGAGGAUGGGCAGCUGAUAUACUAACUGAUGCAAUUGGUAAGAUUGUGGACACAGACAUAGGUGCUUUUAAGACAAGAAAACAAAGUGUGGCAAAUAAUUGAGGAGAAGUCUAUUCUCCUAAUUCUUCAGUAAUAAUGACUGAAGUCUUCCAAGACUAGAAGUCUUGAAAGAUAUCAUUCAGAGUCAGGUUACUUAAUAUUGACAUUGGAGGUCCCAAUACAGGCAGUGGCCAAUUGGCUUCUCAGGCAGUGUAGGUAGACAAAUGAGAAACAGAAAAGGAUAAGAAAAGUAAUACCCUUAAUAACUGUAGCUGACUGGAUGAAUUAUAAGAAUAUCUGUAGUCUCAUUUAAGUACUUUUGAAAAUAACAAGAAAUGCACUGAGAGAGGUUAACAUUCAGCCUCCUAGAGAGAUGGAGUUUCAGUCCAUGGAACCCUAAUUUGGAUAUAAGAAAUUUUACUGUUUUUUAUAGACAUCAGUUGGUAAAGCCUAAGCCAUAAUAUUAUUUGUGACUGACUCUUAUUGUUCUUUUUUCACAAUUAUCCUGCAAAUAAUUAUCAUAUCUUCUCCCCUUUAUAUCCUGAAAUACAAAAGGAAUUGAGACUUUGACAAGUUAUAUGGACCAAUAUUUUGUCUCCAGACUAAACCAUACUUUAAAACUGACACGUGUAUUAUUCCCAACUAAGAGGUAGAAACUUUGCAAUGAUUGCUAAGAUAUUGAUAUUGUCUUAUAACAGCUGGAUAAAGAAAAAGCAGUCACACUGUUUCACAAUGUUGUCAUCUUUCUUACUAUGAGUUAUGAAUUUUGUAAUCACUCAUCUUUCAUGGAAGAAAUGUGAUAUGGUUUGGCUGUGUCCCCACCCAAAUCUCAUCUUGAUUAUAGUUUCCAUAAUCCCCAUGUAUCAUGGGAGGGACCCAGUGAAGGUGUUUCAUCAUGAGGACAGUUACCUUCAUGCUAUUCUCAUGAUAGUGAGUGAGUUCUCACAAGAUCUGAUGGUUUUAUAAGGGGCCUUCCCCUGCCCCUUUACUCUG